UACGUAGGGUGCGAGCGUUAAUCGGAAUUAUUGGGCGUAAAGGGCGCGUAGGCGGUGCGGUAAGUCACCUGUGAAAUCUCCUGGCUCAACUGGGAGCUUGCAGGCGAAACUGCCGUGCUGGAGUGUGGGAGAGGUGCGUGGAAUUCCUGGUGUAGCGGUGAAAUGCGUAGAUAUCAGGAGGAACACCUGUGGCGAAAGCGGCGCACUGGACCACAACCGACGCUGAGGCGCGAAAGCUAGGGGAGCAAACAGG
rnacentral:rRNA from 1 species